rnacentral:lncRNA from 1 species
GCCCAUUCCAGCUCAUGACAAUAAGCCAAUUAAAACUUUAAAGCCUGGCACAAAAUGCUUCAGCGUCUCUAUGUCUCAAUCAAAGACCAUGCUACAGGGCUCUGGGUGUGAACACUCUGUCUACUCAGAGCUGCUUCACUUGGAGCCUCCACGUUCUUCCCUCGCUGUGGGCAAAAGGCACCCCACUGCCUGCUUUAAUGCACAGAUCCAUCCUUAGCGUAUCUAAGACAGCUGAUUUCCUCAAUCAAACGUGACAACUGAGGAAGUAGCCAAAGAAUGCAUUGAGUCAGGUCACCCCUGGGCAGGGGUGGGCCCCACCAUAGAGAGCUAAAUGGGCUGUAUGCACUGGGCUCAGGAGGACUUGCAGGAGCUUAAGAUUCCCAGGAAGGAGACCGAAGCCAUGCAAAUGGAAAAGGGAAUGCUGAAACCGGAGCCACAUAGACAUCUGCUUAUAGUUCUGGGCCUGUGCCUGGAGCAAUGGGCACCACAGUCUCCCCCAAGGACAGUGAAGAGAGAAUGCCUGCCACCCAGGGAGAGCAUCCACAGCGCCAGCCAGAAGCUCCAAAUGUCAGGGACUAAGUCUACAGAGGAGCUCCUCUCUAAGCAAAGGUCGUAAGGACCGGAACCUUAGUCGAUGCCACCUUAAUAGAAAAAAAUUCAAAAUCCUGCCAUAGAGAGAGAAAAUUCCUUUAGGAGGGGAACUUUUCUUAGACCCAGUGUGGCUAGCACCACACAGGCAUUCCACCUGCAAUCCCUCAGGCCGCUUGCUUUUGGGGGGCCCGAGUUCCCAGGCAAUCGCAGUGAGGAAAGCUGACGUCUCCGGGGAGCUGGG